AACAAUUUACAUGUUUACCUCAUUUAUAUUUUUUUUCAGUAGAGAAUAUUGCACAGUCCGGGUUGGAUCUGAUUUAUCUGUAGGGAAACUGUGCAAUGUGAGCAUUGGGCUUACAGGGGAAAAAAUAACGAAAUGGAAUUCAAAUAAUUGAACCGAAGUAGGUCAAUUAGUUGUUUAAAAAAACGAAAAAUAACUCCGGUAAUAGCUCCGCACUACCAGCUAGACUAGAGGGCCUGCGCCAGGGUCCUGAUGUGUUCCAUUAUUGUAGAAAAUAAAUACAUGUUUGCCACAGUAGCUUAUCUUAAGUGCAGUGGCCCCUAUCAAAACGUUCACUUUUAUUUCCACCUAAAUCAACAAUAAAUCCACCGUAAAGGCUAUGCACCUUUAAAUAUAGCGGAUGCGUUUUAGUGGAAGUGUUUUAGCUAGUAGCGGAUUGGACAAACGGCUUCUGGCCCUCCAUAAGUCGCUACAGUGGCGGGAGAUGUCAUGUGCGCUGUCUAUAGGUAAACAAACAACUUGAUCGGAGUAUUGCGUGAACAACAAUAGUGAACAUUGUUGUUGAUUGUGGAUAAUAUAUCCACUAGUAGCUAGUUUAACUUGCCAACUAUACGGACCAAAGCGGGGAGAGAGUUUGUUAUUAUGAGCAGGCUUCGAUCAGCGAUGCAGAAGAGGAAGAGAGUUGCGCUGGACAAAACCGAGUCGUCGUCAGCAAAACCAUUGCGGAAAAGAGCGAAUGCAACUGUGAAACAAGAGCCCGAUGAGACUGCAGCGUCGACAUAUCAUUCAUUCCAUGAUCCUGCUGACAUUGCACUCUUUAGGACACGCAUCCUUUACUGGUAUGACCAGGGGAAGAGAGAGUUACCCUGGAGAACUGUGGCUCUGACAGAACCGGACAUCAACAUCAGGACAUAUGCAGUUUGGGUCUCAGAAAUCAUGCUACAGCAGACCCAGGUUGCCACUGUGAUCGACUACUACAAUAAGUGGAUGAAGCGGUGGCCAACAGUACAGGGUCUUGCAGCGGCUACGUUGGAGGAAGUCAAUCAGAUGUGGGCUGGGCUUGGGUACUACUCCCGGGGAAAGAGACUUCAGGAAGGAGCUCAGAAGGUGGUAGCAGAGCUAGGGGGAGAGAUGCCCAGGACGGUUGAGGCUCUGCUGAAGCAGCUGCCUGGAGUGGGCCGCUACACCGCCGCAGCUGUGGGCUCCAUCGCGCUGGGCCAGGUGACGGGAGCUGUUGAUGGGAAUGUGAUCCGGGUCCUGUGUCGGGUGCGGGCUAUAGGGGCCGACAGUACAAGCCCAGCAGUGACUGAAGCUCUAUGGAGCACCGCCAACACGUUGGUGUCCCAAGAGAGACCAGGGGACUUUAACCAGGCCAUGAUGGAGCUGGGGGCGAGGGUGUGCACCCCUAAAGGCCCCCAGUGCAACCAGUGUCCCAUACAGACUCUCUGCCACUCCUACAGGAAGGUUAGCGUCAAACGAGAGGAGAACUCAACAAAGCUUCUGGGUAAAUUGAACCGGGUACCUGCAUCUCUGCCAGAUGUAGAGGAUUGUGUGACCUCGGGAACAUGUAACCUGUGCCCCACGGAACCCUGGGACAGCCAACUGGGCGUUCAGAACUUCCCCAGGAAGCCGGUGAAGAAAGCUCCUCGUGUGGAGCGCACACUCACCUGUGUGGUGUCCCGGCCAGGAGCAGGAGGAGAUGUCGAGUACCUGCUCACCCAAAGGCCGAGCAAAGGACUUUUGGCUGGUAUGUGGGAGUUCCCUAGCCUGCUCCUGGAGGGGGAGAAUUCUGAGAUGAAACAGAGGGGGGCGCUGUGUGCUGGGGUGGGGAGAUUGUUGGGAGUUCGGCUGGACAACGGGCUGCUCCAGUAUGUGGGGGAGGUGGUUCAUAUCUUCUCCCACAUCCACCAGACAUAUGUUGUGUACAGCCUGUGUUUGAAUGUCUCUGGAGAGGGGAGGGAAAGCCCAGAGUACUACACGCUGGCUCACUAGACCUUCCCUGCAGGAAGCUGCUGUAUCCACUGGAGUGAAGAAGAUCAUGAAGCUGUACGACACUAUGGAGGAUCAAGAGGGACAAGCUACCAAGAAGAAGGCUACUAACACUAAGAGUGAUGGACAGCACAAGUCUAAAAAGCUCAAAGACAAUUCAACAAACAGCGGGACCAGACAGCUGUCACUCAGUUCCUUCUUCAAGAGCCCAAAACAAGAAACUUGAUCAAUUUAUACUUACUCACAAAGAAUAACAAUGUCGUUUUUUAAUUUUAUUUAAAGCUGAUCAAGUACCAUACAAGGACUACUACUGUGCCUUGCUGUCUGGAUAACUGCCACAAGUGGUCUGGGUGUUUAUCCCAUGAGUGGAAUACUUUAAGAGCAAAAAGUGUGUCAUUGAGUUGAAUGCUGAAUACAAUUUUAAACAAAUUAAAAAAAUAACAAAUUGCAACAGUGGCCUCUCAUACAGUUGAAGUCGGAAGUUUAAAUACAACUCAGCCAAGUAUAUUUAAACUCAGUUUAUAACAAUUCCUGACAUUUAAUCC